UGUCCGGCUCUUUCUUCUCUCUCGAUGUCUCUCUUCUCUUUAUCCUCUUUUUGUUUGUGAUUAGGAUUUGUUUUACAUACUAACCGUUCUUUUUGGCUUGCUUUGUAAGUGGAGUGUGUUGAUUCUCUGAAGCAGCUAAAGGAGAAUAAGAAUUUGAUUCGCAUCUUCAUUCUGCUUUUGCAGGAAUGAUAUUGAAGUAGAAGCACUAGUGAUGAAUUGAGAAGAAUACCAGCUAGCACUACCUUCCCUUCCCAAAUGGCCUGAAGGAUUGCUAAUAGCAUACAUGUGUAAGUGACACAAAUUGGGGGAGGAGCCCCUGCUGAAAUUUUACUCAGAACCAUUGAGUGUGUGACAUUUUAAUAUAUCAGUCCACACAGUUAACUAGUAAGUGAUAUUAUAAUUAAUUUAUACUUGUCAUUAUAUUAUUUUCCAAGUUCAAGUUAUAGGUAAGUAUGGUGUACUCUUAGUUCAUUUAAACAUGUUGAUAUCAGUGUCAACCAAAUGUAUUUCAAACCUCAUACAGAUUUUUGGUCUUGAUAUCUAGUAAGCUCUAUUCCUUGUGAACCUAUUCAUUUUGUAUUAAAUGUAUGUACGUGAAUAUUAUUCCUACUCAUAGAUCACAAGUGAAUUACUGGUGCUGCAACACUCUCUAUCAGAUUAGGUACAAGGGUGUUGGAAAGCAGUGUGGGCAAAUAAUUAUUGUCGUACCAUAUUGUAUAAUUGAUUCAAAGGCAGUUACCUAAAAUAUAGAUUUCCUGUAUUAGUCAAGAUAUGUAUGAUUUAAAUCCUUGUUUUGAGGAGCCUAUCAAGGCACUGAUGUAAUGUAUAGUUUGCAAUAGUCUAUGACAGGUCCUGAUUGGAACCUACCAUGACUGGUAAUUUUUAAAGCCUACAAAGUCCGCAUAAUGGCACCCUUCUUGCCUACAAUAAAGAUUAUAGUUUUUAUUAAUACUUUAUGUAGAUAUUGAGAAUCAUGUAUUUUAAGCUUGAAAGAAGUAACGACUAGUUACUUGUUAGUUUGUUUAUAGUGGUAGUGGUUAUUACAGGCUGUUUUCUUUUUACUCCUCUUUCUGGUGCUUAAUUGAUAUUCAAAUAUGUUAUAGGUUCAUGAUACAUCAGAUCCAAUGGUGAAGAAGUUAGGUGUUGACUCACUUCCUACUUUGGUUGGUUGGACUUCGAACUGGGAGAAGCAUAUCUUAAAAACAGGAAUCUCCGUAAAAGAUCUAAAAUCUGCAGUUCACGAUCUUAGUGGUUUACUUGAUGGUUUAGAGAAGAAGAAUAAAAAGGCUGGUUCAACAAGCAGAAAACAACAGACUGAACCUCUUUCUCCUUGGGUAUCAUCUACCUUGGUGGUUGAGCUUUUGUUAGUAGAAUCUGGUGCUUGCAAGCAAAUUGGGUGGCAAUGUGGCUGGUUUAAGAU